AGCGAGAGAGAGCUUGCUUUCUCAAGCGAGUGGCGAACGGGUGAGUAACGCGUGAGGAACCUGCCUCAAAGAGGGGGGACAACAGUUGGAAACGACUGUUAAUACCGCAUAAGCCCACGACCCGGCAUCGGGAAGGGGGAAAAGGAGCAAUCCGCUUUGAGAUGGCCUCGCGUCUGAUUAGCUAGUUGGUGAGGUAACGGCCCACCAAGGCGACGAUCAGUAGCCGGACUGAGAGGUUGAACGGCCACAUUGGGACUGAGAUACGGCCCAGACUCC
rnacentral:rRNA from 1 species